GAACUAAUUUAGCUAAUACAACCCCAUUAGACAAUAAUAGUAAGCAUAAUUUUGGUAAGUUUAGUUAGAAUUAAAGAAUUUGUUGACUAAAAUUCGAAUAGGUUUUUUACUUUUUCUUUGUUAGAGUACAUCUUUGUAGUUAGUUAAAAAAAGAAGAAGUUUUCCAAAAAAAAUGUUGUAUGUUGUCAGUGGUGAGGAUAAAAUAUUUAGUUAGUAAAAGAAAGAAAGGUCUUCAAUUCCGAGUUUCCGACAUGUUCGUUCCCUAUUUGUUUAUGAAGGCUUACUUUUGCGUUUCUCUAACUAUUACCUUUGUUUUGUUUGCUAUAGAAUGGUUGGCCAUUAUCGAUGGGAUUUUGGAGCUGACGAGGAACAAUGGAACAUAGAUAAGCUUGGCGCAUAUUAUUUGAUUUAAUACUAUUAUAGU
rnacentral:sRNA from 1 species